rnacentral:rRNA from 1 species
UACGAAGGGGGCUAGCGUUGUUCGGAAUUACUGGGCGUAAAGGGCUCGUAGGCGGCCAACUAAGUCAGACGUGAAAUCCCUCGGCUUAACCGGGGAACUGCGUCUGAUACUGGAUGGCUUGAGAUUGGGAGAGGGAUGCGGAAUUCCAGGUGUAGCGGUGAAAUGCGUAGAUAUCUGGAGGAACACCGGUGGCGAAGGCGGCAUCCUGGACCAACACUGACGCUGAGUGAGCGAAAGCCAGGGGAGCAAACGGG